rnacentral:rRNA from 1 species
UACGGAGGGUGCGAGCGUUGUCCGGAAUCAUUGGGCGUAAAGGGCGCGUAGGUGGCGGGACAAGCGUGCGGUGAAAGCCUGGGGCUCAACCCCGGGUCGGCCGUGCGAACUGUUUUGCUUGAGCACUGUAGAGGCAGGCGGAAUUCCGGGUGUAGCGGUGGAAUGCGUAGAGAUCCGGAAGAACACCGGUGGCGAAGGCGGCCUGCUGGGCAGUAGCUGACACUGAGGCGCGACAGCGUGGGGAGCAAACAGGG